rnacentral:rRNA from 1 species
UGACCUCGGAUCAGGUAGGGAUACCCGCUGAACUUAAGCAUAUCAAUAAGCGGAGGAAAAGAAACCAACCGGGAUUGCCCUAGUAACGGCGAGUGAAGCGGCAAGAGCUCAAAUUUGAAAGCUGGCUCCUUCGGGGUCCGCAUUGUAAUUUGCAGAGGAUGCUUCGGGAGCGGUCCCCAUCUAAGUGCCCUGGAACGGGCCGUCAUAGAGGGUGAGAAUCCCGUCUGGGAUGGGGUGCCCGCGCCCGUGUGAAGCUCCUUCGACGAGUCGAGUUGUUUGGGAAUGCAGCUCUAAUUGGGUGGUAAAUUUCAUCUAAAGCUAAAUAUUGGCCGGAGACCGAUAGCGCACAAGUAGAGUGAUCGAAAGAUGAAAAGCACUUUGAAAAGAGAGUUAAACAGCACGUGAAAUUGUUGAAAGGGAAGCGCUUGCGAUCAGACUCGCCCGCGGGGUUCAGCCGGCAUUCGUGCCGGUGUACUUCCCCGUGGGCGGGCCAGCGUCGGUUUGGGCGGCCGGUCAAAGGCCCCUGGAAUGUAACGCCUCUCGGGGCGUCUUAUAGCCAGGGGUGCCAUGCGGCCUGCCCGGACCGAGGAACGCGCUUCGGCUCGGACGCUGGCAUAAUGGUCGUAAGCGACC